rnacentral:rRNA from 1 species
CUACGGGGGGCUCCAGUAAGGAAUAUUGCGCAAUGGAGGCAACUCUGACGCAGCCAUGCCGCGUGCAGGAAGAAGGCCUUAUGGGUCGUAAACUGCUUUUAUUUAGGAAUAAACCCUCGCUCGUGAGCGAGGCUGAAGGUACUGAAUGAAUAAGCACCGGCUAACUCCGUGCCAGCAGCCGCGGUAAUACGGAGGGUGCAAGCGUUAUCCGGAUUUAUUGGGUUUAAAGGGUGCGCAGGCGGGCUAUUAAGUCAGUGGUGAAAUCCCGGGGCUCAACUCCGGAACUGCCAUUGAUACUGAUAGUCUUGAGUUUGGUUGAAGUGGGCGGAAUGUAGCAUGUAGCGUUGAAAUGCAUAGAUAUGCUACAGAACACCAAUCGCGAAGGCAGCUCACUAAGCCAAAACUGACGCUCAUGCACGAAAGCGUGGGGAUCAAACAGGAUUAGAUACCCCUGUAGUC